CUUGUACCACACCCGCCCGUCACACCAUGGGAGCGGGUUCUGCCAGAAGUAGUUAGCCUAACCGCAAGGAGGGCGAUUACCACGGCAGGGUUCGUGACUGGGGUG
rnacentral:rRNA from 1 species